CUGCCAUCUUGCGUCCCCUUGUGUGCAACCUAUCUCAGCUGGUCUGCCAAAAGACCCCUUGAGUGCCAGCCCUAGUCUCCCGUGUGGCCCCAUUUCCUCCCUGAUGAAAGAAACGAUCAUGAAUCAGGAGAUACUUGCCAAACUGCAGGCACAAGUGCGCAUUGGUGAAAAAGGAACUGCACGCAGAAAGAAGAAGGUGGUUCAUAGAACAGCUACAGCAGAUGACAAAAAACUUCAGUUUUCCUUAAAGAAAUUAGGGGUAAACAAUAUCUCUGGUAUUGAAGAGGUGAAUAUGUUUACAAAUCAAGGAACGGUGAUCCACUUUAAUAAUCCUAAAGUUCAGGCAUCUCUGGCAACGAACACUUUCACCAUUAUGGCCAUGCUGAGACAAAGCAGUUGACAGAAAUGUUACCCAGAAUCUUAAACCAGCUUGGCGCAGAUAGCCUGAGUAGUUUAAGAAGACUGGCUGAAGCCCUGCCCAAACAAUCUGUGGAUGGAAAAGCACCACUUGCUACUGGAGAAGAUGAUGAUGAUGAAGUUCCAGAUCUUGUGGAGAAUUUUGAUGAGGCUUCAAAGAAUGAGGCCAACUGAUUUGAGUCAACUUUUGAAGAAGAUAAAACAUGACGAAGUUACUUUGAGCUGCUGUUUUAUAUUAUGACUGCUUUUUAAAAUUGUUUUGUUUAUGGAUCUGAUAAAAUCUAGAUCUCUUAUAUUUUGAAGCCCAACAAGCCUUUUGGACAUUGCAGCUCUUUUCAGUUUCUGCUUAAAUAGAAUUCAUUCUUUGCAGCUAAAUAAGCUGAAGAAGCCUGGGAAUAAAAUUUGAAACAAAGGUU